CAGUCGCCGCGGUAAUACGUAGGGUGCGAGCGUUAAUCGGAAUUACUGGGCGUAAAGGGCGCGUAGGCGGCGAUCAAAGUCAGGCGUGAAAUUCCCGGGCUCAACCUGGGGGCUGCGUUUGAUACUUGGUUGCUUGAGUGGGGAAGAGGGUCGUGGAAUUCCCAGUGUAGAGGUGAAACUCGUAGAUAUUGGGAAGAACACCGGUGGCGAAGGCGGCGACCUGGUCCUUUACUGACGCUGAGGCGCGAAAGCGUGGGGAGCAAACAGGAUUAGAUACCCCUGUAGUCCCUGUCUCUUAUAC
rnacentral:rRNA from 1 species